CCUACGGGAGGCAGCAGUGGGGAAUAUUGGGCAAUGGAGGAAACUCUGGCCCAGCAACUCCGCGUGAAUGAUGAAGGUCUUCGGAUUGUAAAGUUCUUUUCUAAGGGAAGAAGAAAGUGACGGUACCUUAGGAAUAAGCCUCGGCUAACUACGUGCCAGCAGCCGCGGUAAUACGUAGGAGGCAAGCGUUAUCCGGAAUGACUGGGCGUAAAGGGUGCGUAGGUGGUUUGACAAGUUGGUAGCGUAACUCCGAGGCUUAACCUCGGCACUACUACCAAAACUGUUGGACUCGAGUGCAGGAGGGGCAAAUGGAAUUCCUAGUGUAGCGGUGGAAUGCGUAGAUAUUAGGAGGAACACCAGUGGCGAAGGCGAUUUGCUGGACUGUAACUGACACUGAGGCACGAAAGCGUGGGGAGCAAACAGGAUUAGAUACCCCUGUAGCC
rnacentral:rRNA from 1 species